rnacentral:rRNA from 1 species
UACGAACUGUGCAAACGUUAUUCGGAAUCACUGGGCUUACAGGGUGCGUAGGCGGCCUGACAAGUAGGGUGUGAAAGCCCCCCGGCUCAACCGGGGAAUGGCGCCCUAAACUGUCGGGCUGGAGUGAGAUAGGGGUGUGCGGAACUUCCGGUGGAGCGGUGAAAUGUGUUGAUAUCGGAAGGAACGCCGGUGGCGAAAGCGGCACACUGGAUCUCAACUGACGCUGAGGCACGAAGCCAGGGGAGCGAACGGG